AGAGGGACAAGGUGUGAUAAUCCUGUUGGGACAUGCUCAGUUUAGGGCCUGGUUUAUGAACAGGCCCAUUGGGGAUGGGGUGAAAAUUCCCCCAUUUCUGAAACAGGAGACAGCCCCCCUGGACAGGGCUGGGAAAACAGACCAGAGUGCUGGAGCCUGAACCCACUAGGCAGAGACUGUGGUGAAAUAUAAAGGGAAGGUGCUGGAAUUCCUGUCCCUGUCCCCUGCAUGGAGCUCUGCUUUCCACAUCAGCCUGUGUCUAGUAUGUGUGUGGUCAAUGAAAAGACCCUGCCCUCUAUCCUCUGCUGGGAGGGUCAAGGAGCUCUCACCUUCUCUGUGUUUCGUGGAGACUCAUGGCCACUCUUGAGUGGGGUGGGGCUAGAAUUCUGCUCCUCCAGGCCUCCCAGAGCUGUUGUAUUUUGGUGCUAUUUCCCCCAUAAACAGUGGAAUUGUGGCUGGGGCAGCAGGUACUGAGUGGGGAGCACUUGUUUUUUCAGAUGCCAGUGACCUUCGAGGAGGUGGCUGCGUAUUUCACCGAGAGGCAGGGGGCUCUGCUGGACCCCGCUCAGAGAGCCCUCUACAAGGAUGUCAUGCAGGAGAAUUACGAGACUGUGACCUCACUGGUGCACUCACAUCAUGCCUGAUUUCACCCCCGAGGAGGACUCCCCAUUCCCAAACCUGACCCGAUCGCCCAGCUGGAAGCAGGGGAAGAGCCAUGGGUCCCGGAUCUCCAGGUCUCUGAGGAAAAGAAGAUCCCAAGAGGCACCCACCCAGCAGGUGAUGAGACAAUGAGUGAGAACGAGGAGGGAGAUCUACAGCAGGAAGGACUUGAGCAAAUGGAACUCCAGGGGACCUUCUUGAGAAAAGCUGGAGAGAAGUUCUCCCAGUGCUUGGAACAGAGAAAAGCCUGGAGUAAUUGGCACAGGUCAGAAAGGAAUCAGGGAAAAUGCCAAAGGAAGAAAAUGGAGGAAUCCAUUGAAUGUGGGAGAGGAGGCAAGGAUCCCAAGGAAUCCGCAGCCCAGCAGACAAAUCAGAAGGAGAAGAAACCAUAUACAUGCUUGGACUGUGGGAAAAGCUUCAGUCGGCGCUCAAUCCUUAUAAGACAUGGGAGAAUCCACACAAAAAACUGUGAAAAUGCCUCCGCUGUAGGAAAAGUUUGUCAGAACUCGCACCUUAUUACACAUCAGACAAUCCACAUAAGAGAGAAUCUGCAUAAAUACUUGAAUGGUGGGAAAGGCUUCAAUCCCAGGCCAAAUCUUCCUAAACAUCAGAAUUCACAAGGGACAGAAUCUAUAAGUGCCUCAACUGUGGAAAAAGUUUCAUUUGAAUAUCAAACCUUGCUUCACAUUAGACGAUCCACACAAGAGAGAGCCCAUAAAUACUUGGAUUGUGGGAAAAUCUUCAAUAAUUGCAGGGAAAGAUUAGUCUAAGCUCACACAUUGUUCCCUCAUGAGCUAAUUCACAGAAGAAAGAGCUUGAAUGUGGGGGUAUCUUCUUUUGAUGCUCACACAGUAUCAAGCAUCAGCAAAUCCAAACAGGGAGGAGCCCUCUCAGAUGUCCUUAGCAUGGAAAUAGGUUCAGUUGGAGCUAACACCACAUUGAACAUCAGAGACUCCUCCACACAGGAGAGAAAUUCUCUCGGUGCCCUGACUAGGGCUGGACGUAGUAAAAACUCCAUUUCCUAAUUCCCACAUACAUCAGUGACAUUUGGCUCCUAGGUAUCCAGCUGCCCAUGUUUGGGGGCAGGUUCCAGCAGCAGCUAACCCUGAUCUGAUCAGCCGCUCCUCCCUGCUGAUGGGCUUUCCUGCCUCCUGGUAACCUGCUGAGGAAUGGGAGAGAGAAAUUCCUCCAGAAGCCCCCUCUGCCUGGAUGAAGUUCUCUUUCCUUUCCCUUCCCAGUCAGGAUGCCCCUACCAUAGAGACUAGGAAAUGGAUACUUGGGCAAGGCUCCACAUUCACUCUGGACACCUGUCCCCACCCCCCAUUUUCCAGUAGCCUAUGGGUUGGGCUCCCCCACUUACCUGGAGCUAGUCCCUGCAGGGUGAGUGUCCUGAGUGCUGGCAACUCUUCCCCUCUCUAAAUCCCCUAAGGUGCUGGGUUCUGGGAGAUCAAAUGUGAAAGGACCAGGAGGGAUGGGUUUUGGGGAAGACAGUGGGUGACUGAAUGGUUGGGUCUGGUGGAUGUGGGGAGCAUAGGGU